UACGUAGGGCACAAGCGUUAUCCGGAAUUAUUGGGCGUAAAGAGCUCGUAGGCGGUUUGUCGCGUCUGCCGUGAAAGUCCGGGGCUCAACUCCGGAUCUGCGGUGGGUACGGGCAGACUAGAGUGAUGUAGGGGGAGACUGGAAUUCCUGGUGUAGCGGUGAAAUGCGCAGAUAUCAGGAGGAACACCGAUGGCGAAGGCAGGUCUCUGGGCAUUAACUGACGCUGAGGAGCGAAAGCAUGGGGAGCGAACAGG
rnacentral:rRNA from 1 species